rnacentral:rRNA from 1 species
UGAAUACGAGACGCUAAGGCGUCGAAGUAGUGUAUGUCAUACUUCCAAGAAAAGCUUGCACUGUCAUAGAUAAAAAACGCCUGUACCAUAACCGACACAGGUGGGUAGGUAGAGUAUACUAAGGGGCGCGAGAUAACUCUCUCUAAGGAACUCGGCAAAAUAACUCCGUAACUUCGGGAGAAGGAGUGCCUUAUUCGUAAGGUUGCAAUAACAAGAUCCAAGCAACUGUUUAUCAAAAACACAGGUCUCCGCUAAGUCGUAAGACGAUGUAUGGGGGCUGACGCCUGCCAGUGCCAGAAGGUUAAAGAAGUUGGUUAGCAAUUGCGAAGCUGGUAACUGAAGCCCUGGUGAACGGCGGCCGUAACAAUAACGGUCCUAAGGUAGCGAAAUUCCUUGUCGGGUAAGUUCCGACCCGCACGAAAGGCGUAAUGAUUUGGAUACUGUCUCGGAGAGGGGCUCGGUGAAAUAGACUUGUCUGUGAAGAUGCGGACUACCUGCACCAGGACAGAAAGACCCUAUGAAGCUUUACUGUAACUUGAAAUUGAAAUUGGACUUUAUUCGCGCAGCAUAGGUGGGAGGCGUUGAUUAUAAUCUUGCGGGAUUAUUGGAGCCAUCAGUGAGAUACCACUCUUGUAAUGUUAGAUUUCUAACUUUGAAUCAUUAUCUGGUCAAAGAACAGUUUCAGGCGGGCAGUUUGACUGGGGCGGUCGCCUCCUAAACGGUAACGGAGGCGUACAAAGGUUUCCUCUGAACGGUUAGAAAUCGUAUCUAGAGUGUAAAGGCAUAAGGAAGCUUGACUGUGAGACCUACAAGUCGAGCAGGGACGAAAGUCGGUCUUAGUGAUCUGACGGUACUGAGUGGAAAGGCCGUCACUCAACGGAUAAAAGUUACUCUAGGAUAACAGGCUGAUCUCCCCCAAGAGUUCACAUCGACGGGGAGGUUUGGCACCUCGAUGUCGGCUCAUCGCAUCCUGGGGCGGUAGUACGUCCCAAGGGUUGGGCUGUUCGCCCAUGAAAGCGGUACGCGAGCUGGGUUCAGAACGUCGUAGACAGUUCGGUCCAUAUCCGGUGUAGGCGUUAGAAUAUUGAGAGGAGCCUUCUUUAGUACGAGAGGACCGAGAAGGACAUACCUCUGGUGUACCAGUUAUCGUGCCAACGGUAAACGCUGGGUAGCUAUGUAUGGAGUGGAUAACCGCUGAAAGCAUCUAAGUGGGAAGCCCACCUCAAGAUAAGUAUUCUCACC